rnacentral:tRNA from 1 species
CAUUAAGAAGCUAUAGGGAUCAGCGACAGCCUUUUAAGCUGUAAACAGGUGGCCUCCAAUCACCCUUAAUGA